rnacentral:rRNA from 1 species
UACGUAGGGGGCAAGCGUUGUCCGGAUUUAUUGGGCGUAAAGAGCGUGUAGGCGGUUCGGUAGGUCCGUUGUGAAAACUCGAGCUCAACCUCGAGACGCCGAUGGAAACCCCCGAACUAGGGUCCGGAAGCAGGAGAGUGGAAUUCCUGGUGUAGCGGUGAAAUGCGCAGAUAUCAGGAAGAACACCCGUGGCUAAGGCGGCUCUCUAGUAGCGGUACUGACGCUGAGACGCGAAAGCGUGGGGAGCGAACAGG